GAUAAACGCUGGCGGCGUGCCUAAUACAUGCAAGUCGAGCGAACGGACGAGAAGCUUGCUUCUCUGAUGUUAGCGGCGGACGGGUGAGUAACACGUGGAUAACCUACCUAUAAGACUGGGAUAACUUCGGGAAACCGGAGCUAAUACCGGAUAAUAUUUUGAACCGCAUGGUUCAAAAGUGAAAGACGGUCUUGCUGUCACUUAUAGAUGGAUCCGCGCUGCAUUAGCUAGUUGGUAAGGUAACGGCUUACCAAGGCAACGAUGCAUAGCCGACCUGAGAGGGUGAUCGGCCACACUGGAACUGAGACACGGUCCAGACUCCUACGGGAGGCAGCAGUAGGGAAUCUUCCGCAAUGGGCGAAAGCCUGACGGAGCAACGCCGCGUGAGUGAUGAAGGUCUUCGGAUCGUAAAACUCUGUUAUUAGGGAAGAACAUAUGUGUAAGUAACUGUGCACAUCUUGACGGUACCUAAUCAGAAAGCCACGGCUAACUACGUGCCAGCAGCCGCGGUAAUACGUAGGUGGCAAGCGUUAUCCGGAAUUAUUGGGCGUAAAGCGCGCGUAGGCGGUUUUUUAAGUCUGAUGUGAAAGCCCACGGCUCAACCGUGGAGGGUCAUUGGAAACUGGAAAACUUGAGUGCAGAAGAGGAAAGUGGAAUUCCAUGUGUAGCGGUGAAAUGCGCAGAGAUAUGGAGGAACACCAGUGGCGAAGGCGGCUUUCUGGUCUGUAACUGACGCUGAUGUGCGAAAGCGUGGGGAUCAAACAGGAUUAGAUACCCUGGUAGUCCACGCCGUAAACGAUGAGUGCUAAGUGUUAGGGGGUUUCCGCCCCUUAGUGCUGCAGCUAACGCAUUAAGCACUCCGCCUGGGGAGUACGACCGCAAGGUUGAAACUCAAAGGAAUUGACGGGGACCCGCACAAGCGGUGGAGCAUGUGGUUUAAUUCGAAGCAACGCGAAGAACCUUACCAAAUCUUGACAUCCUUUGACAACUCUAGAGAUAGAGCCUUCCCCUUCGGGGGACAAAGUGACAGGUGGUGCAUGGUUGUCGUCAGCUCGUGUCGUGAGAUGUUGGGUUAAGUCCCGCAACGAGCGCAACCCUUAAGCUUAGUUGCCAUCAUUAAGUUGGGCACUCUAAGUUGACUGCCGGUGACAAACCGGAGGAAGGUGGGGAUGACGUCAAAUCAUCAUGCCCCUUAUGAUUUGGGCUACACACGUGCUACAAUGGACAAUACAAAGGGCAGCGAAACCGCGAGGUCAAGCAAAUCCCAUAAAGUUGUUCUCAGUUCGGAUUGUAGUCUGCAACUCGACUACAUGAAGCUGGAAUCGCUAGUAAUCGUAGAUCAGCAUGCUACGGUGAAUACGUUCCCGGGUCU
rnacentral:rRNA from 1 species